GCGCUAAGAUUGAGAUAGGGGCUUGGCGAGGGUCGAGACGAGUAUUUAAAGGGGCAACCGUGUGGAGCAAGGCGCCUGGGGCGAUUACGCGCACGGCCGGUAGGAUUCGGGCUCGAGUCCUGUCCGGACACGAGGUAGGGGACGGCCUUGACCGCUGGGUCCCACUUAUCGGUGUCCCAGGGGCGCGGGUCCGCUCUGUCAGCGGCCGCAGCGGAGGGGAGACGCGAGCGGCUCGCUGGCUGCUCCAGCGUGGGCCGGGGACUGGGCCGCGUGGCAGGAGAAAGGAAGGGGGAAAACAGGCCGCGGGGGGGUGGGGGGAAACUGUGCCGAGACCGAGAGUGAGUGAGGGAGAGACUAAUUCCUUUUAUUUUUUUUAUUUUUCUCACUUUUUGCUCAAACCAAAUAAAAAGAUUUGAAAAUCAUUUUGAAUUUAAAACCACCACUCAAUAAAAUAUAUGCAGCAGCAUGAUGCUAAAACAUGUGUCUAAACCCUAUAAUGACUUUUAAUUUAAUAAAUAUUCCUUUCUUACUACACUUAAGUACUCAACAAUUAAUUAAAUCAUUUUACCCUAUUUGGAAAGAUGAAAUUUUUAGGGUUUUACAUUAACUCUCGUCA
rnacentral:lncRNA from 1 species